CAUCUCUCAGUGCUUACCGCAGGCAGCGGCCACCCACCAGCGCUGACUGCACAGGAAUGAGAGAUACAGCAUCCGCCGCCCUGCAUGCACCACGGCCAGGUUGCUUCCCCCGCCUGGGCUGUAUUGUGAGCAGGGGACAGAU